GACGUAGGGGGCGAGCGUUGUCCGGAAUCACUGGGCGUAAAGGGCGCGUAGGCGGCACUGUUAGUCAGGCGUGAAAGUCCUGGGCUCAACCUGGGAACUGCGCUUGAUACGGCAGAGCUAGAGGAUGGAAGAGGGUCGCGGAAUUCCCAGUGUAGAGGUGAAAUUCGUAGAUAUUGGGAAGAACACCGGUGGCGAAGGCGGCGACCUGGUCCAUUACUGACGCUGAGGCGCGACAGCGUGGGGAGCAAACAGG
rnacentral:rRNA from 1 species